rnacentral:rRNA from 1 species
UACAGAGACCUCAAGCGUUAUCCGGAAUCAUUGGGCGUAAAGCGCGUGUAGGUGGCUAGUUAAGUUGGAUGUGAAAUCCCUGGGCUCAACCGAGGAAGUGCAUUCAAAACUGGCUGGCUAGAAGAUGGUAGAGGAAGGUGGAAUUCCAAGUGUAGAGGUGAAAUUCGUAGAUAUUUGGAGGAAUACCGGCGGCGAAGGCGGCCUUCUGGGCCAUUCUUGACACUGAGACGCGAAAGCGUGGGGAGCAAACAGG